GAUGAACGCUGGCGGCGUGCUUAACACAUGCAAGUCGAACGGAAAGGCCCAAGCUUGCUUGUGUACUCGAGUGGCGAACGGGUGCGUAACACGUGGGUGAUCUGCCCUGCACUUCGGGAUAAGCCUGGGAAACUGGGUCUAAUACCGGAUAGGACGAUGGUUUGGAUGCCAUUGUGGAAAGUUUUUUCGGUGUGGGAUGAGCUUGCGGCGUAUCAGCUUGUUGGUGGGGUAAAGGCCUACCAAGGCGUCGACGGGUAGCCGGCCGGCGAGGGGGAACGGGCCUGAUAGAACGGAGAGACACACUGGACCUCGAAGACAGGCCGCAGUAGGAAAUGAGGCAGCAGUGGCGAAUAUUGCACAAAGGGAGCAAGCGUGAGGGAGGAAGGCCGCGGGGGCGAAGACGGCCUUUGGGUUGUAAGAACCUUUGGCUAGGGACGAAGCGUUUUUGUGACGGUACCUAGAGAAGAAGCACCGGCUAACUACGUG
rnacentral:rRNA from 1 species